UUAUCGAAGUGUCUUCUCUAGAGCAACGCAUUGGUACAUCAUGCAGAGUAGUUACGACGUGAGAUCCAACGGCGAUGCCGCCGCUGUCACAACAGUGUCACAUCAGCGUAUGCACGAGUCGGAGAUUACUAAAGCCACCGAGAACACUUCGUUGUCGCCAAAUAAUCAAACUUACUUUGCCGACGAGAAAGUGCAGGUGCCAGAGACAAAGAGGGAAGGAUUCAGUUUUAGGAAACUAUGGGCUUUUACAGGACCUGGAUUUUUAAUGUCCAUAGCUUAUCUAGAUCCUGGCAAUAUAGAGUCGGACUUGCAGUCCGGAGUAGUGGCGAAAUACAGGUUAUUAUGGGUGCUACUAAGUGCUACUAUCCUAGGUCUCGUUAUGCAAAGGCUCAGUGCACGCCUCGGCGUAGUGACUGGCUUACAUCUAGCAGAAAUGUGUUACAGACAAUAUAAAAAAGUACCUAGACUCAUUUUGUGGAUUAUGAUCGAAAUAGCAAUUAUCGGUAGCGAUAUGCAAGAAGUAAUAGGAACGGCUAUUGCCCUUUCCCUUUUAUCUAAUCAAGCAAUUCCUAUAUGGGGUGGCGUACUUAUUACAGUAGUUGAUACGUUUACAUUUUUAUUCUUGGAUAAGUAUGGCCUAAGAAAACUAGAGCUCUUUUUCGCUUUUCUAAUCUCAGUCAUGGCUGUUACCUUCGGCUACGAGUAUGUCGUCUCUAAACCUCCUCAAUUAGACGUUAUGAGAGGUAUGUUUGCUCCAUGGUAUGGCGGAAUAAGUUACGAUAACAAGGUGUUACUUCAAGCUGUGGGAAUCGUCGGUGCGGUCAUUAUGCCACACAACUUGUAUCUUCACAGUGCCUUAGUUAAGUCAAGAGAUAUUGAUCGCAGACAACCCGCGAAAAUCAAGGAUGCUAAUAUGUAUUAUUUUAUCGAAGCCAGUAUCGCAUUGUUUGUCUCGUUUGUAAUUAACGUGUUCGUCGUCGCUGUAUUCGCACAUGGUCUCUUUGGUCAGACGAACAACCAAGUCUACGAUAUUUGUAAAGCAAAUAAUUAUACCCUUGGCAUACACACUUUCGAGAAUCUUGCGAAAAACGAGACGCUGAAUGCCGAUCUCUACAAGGGCGGAAUCUUUCUCGGCUGCUCCUUCGGCGCGGCCGCGAUGUAUAUAUGGGCCGUCGGUAUUUUAGCCGCUGGUCAAUCAUCCACGAUGACUGGCACUUAUGCUGGCCAGUUCGCGAUGGAGGGCUUCCUAAAUUUGCAAUGGGCCCGCUGGAAGCGAGUGCUCUUCACUCGAACGAUCGCCAUAGUACCCACGUUUCUCGUAGCGAUCUUUACCGACAUGAACAACCUGAGCAGCAUGAACGAUGUCUUGAACGCAAUUAUGAGCUUGCAAUUGCCGUUCGCCACCUUGCCAACGAUCGCGUUUACAAGCAGUGCCCAAAUCAUGGGUGAAUUCCGCAACGGAAUAAUCAACAAGAUCGUGUCGACUGCAUUGUCGGUCCUAGUGAUAGCGAUAAACAUAUACUUUGUGGCGCAAACCGUCCAAGAAGACUUGCCUCACACUUGGCCCGUGUAUCUCGGCAUGUCUAUAUAUGCGAUUUUAUAUCUUAUUUUCUGCGCUUACUUGGCUAUUCACAUGGCUGUGAGCAUGGGUGCAACGUCUCUUGGUAAUCAUUGGUUCGUUACCAAGUACAUCGGUACGCCCGUAAGCACAACACUCGGUAUAUCGAACCCUGCUGUUUACGCCAGAUACGAGACCUUCGGUGCGAGUGAAGCGUGAUUUUAUAGAAAGAGCUACUUGGUGUCUACGUACGCGCAUUUUACGUGUUACAUGACUCGGCGUGCACUCGACAUGAAUCAUGCGAUGAUAAAAAUAUUUUAGGAAACUCAAUAAUUACCUUGCAUAUUUUCCACAAUACGUCAGAAACCUCGUUAAACGCUUAGUGGGAGUAAUGCAAUUAAAUGUACGAGGUGAAUACGAUCUUUGUGUUUCAACGAAAAUGUGCGAAAACAAUGUCACGUUGGAAAUGUGUUUGUAACAACUCGUGACGUCAGCAUGAUGUCCCAUGUCUGGGCUCACGACACUGACUCCACAUUAUCUCGAUAUCGUAACGAAGAACAAAUCCAGCAUUUACCAUUCAGGAAAGUUUUGGUGGCAGUUUUACAUCUAUACCAGAAUAUUAAAAUUGUUAGUGACCAGCUUAAUGAAUGCGUAAGCGAUGAGUGGCAAGUGUACGCGAUAAUCAACAUAUCUCUUCAAUUAUAGUCAACUGUAUUGGAAGUAACUGAUAGCAUCUUACGAUAUCAAUGUAACAUUCCGUCAUUGAAUACACGCGUUUCGAGCAGACUAUUUCCUAAAUACGAAAGCAGGAUUCUAGAUAAUUCAGACACUUAUUUUACAGUGAAUUUGAAGUAUAUUUAUAUGCAUACAUCGUAACAAUAUUGUGUUAUUGACAAAUCCAGAUACAUAUUUAUGUUUCUUGCGAACUAUAUUUAGUUCUUUAUUUUAGAGUAAUAUAAUUUUCACACGUAACUAUUUAAGAAAAAAAAAAAACAUGAAAAUUAUAUUAAAAAUAAUUUAAAUACUAUUUUAGGACAAAUAUUUAUAUUGUGAUCUAUAAAAUAAAUAUAAUAUCUGUUUUCCAAUUGUUUCAACGACAAUUAGCGCGACGAAGCGUUUCAUCGUCAAUUGUAUAACUAUUUAUAAGACCUUAAAUAUACCACGAAAAUUCUUUUUCUUA